UACAGAGGCCCCAAGCGUUACUGAGAAUCACUGGGUUAAAGGGUGCGUAGGUGGCGCGUUUAAGUCCGUUGUGAAAGCCCUGGGCUCAACCCAGGAACUGCUUCGGAUACUGGCGCGCUUGAGGCUAGUAGGGGUCACUGGAACUGACGGUGGAGCGGUGAAAUGCGUAGAUAUCGCUUGGAACGCCAAAGGUGAAAACAGGUUGACUGGGGAUGCGCUGACACUGAGACGCGAAAGCCAGGGAGCAAACGGG
rnacentral:rRNA from 1 species